UUCCGUAGGUGAACCUGCGGAAGGAUCAUUAGUGAAUCUUUCAAAGUCGGCUCCGUCCGUUCUGUGCUGGUGGAGACACAUGUGCACGUUCGGCGAGUCGCAAACCCACACACCUGUGCAUCUAUGACUCUGAGUGCCGCUUUGCAUGGCCUUGACGGGCCUGGCGCUCGAGUAUUUUCACACACUCUUGAAUGUAAUGGAAUGUCAUGUUGUGCGUAAUGUACAAAAGAAACAACUUUCAACAACGGAUCUCUUGGCUCUCGCAUCGAUGAAGAACGCAGCGAAAUGCGAUAAGUAAUGUGAAUUGCAGAAUUCAGUGAAUCAUCGAAUCUUUGAACGCACCUUGCACCCUUUGGUAUGCCAAAGGGUACACCCGUUUGAGUGUCAUUGUAAUCUCACUACGAUUGACUUUGUCGUCUUUCUGUAUGUGGACUUGGAUGUUGUCGUGGAUAUCCACGACUCGUCUGAAAUGCUUGAGUGUACCCUGCUUUGCGGCGUAUUCGGUGUGAUACAUCUUCACCGGAGUUGAUCCUUUUGGGUCGCGUCUAUACAAGUGUGGCUCUAUGCUUCCAACCGUCUUCCAGGAGACAAUGUUUGACAAUUUGACCUCAAAUCGGGUGGGACUACCCGCUGAACUUAAGCAUAUCAAUAAGCGGAGGAAAAGAAACUAACAAGGAUUCCCCUAGUAACGGCGAGUGAAGAGGGAAAAGCUCAAAUUUUGAAUCUGGUGUCUUUGACGCCCGAGUUGUAAUCUAGAGAAGUGUUUUCCGUGUCGGACCGUGCACAAGUUCCCUGGAACGGGGCGUCAUAGAGGGUGAGAAUCCCGUAUAUGGCACGGACUGCCGAUGCUUUGUGAUACACUCUCAACGAGUCGAGUUGUUUGGGAAUGCAGCUCAAAAUGGGUGGUAAAUUCCAUCUAAAGCUAAAUAUUGGCGAGAGACCGAUAGCGAACAAGUACCGUGAGGGAAAGAUGAAAAGCACUUUGGAAAGAGAGUGAAACAGUACGUGAAAUUGUUGAAAGGGAAGCGUUUGAAGUCAGUCGUAUCUGGCGGGAUUCAGCCUGGCUUUUGCCGGGUGUACUUUCCGUCCGAUGGGUCAGCAUCAAUUUCGAUGGGGGGAAAAAGGCGUGGGGAAUGUGGCUGUCUUCGGGCAGUGUUAUAGCCCCGUGUUGUAUGCCUCUGUCGGGAUUGAGGAACGCAGCGCGCCUAUAGGCCAGGGGCUACCCGCCUC
rnacentral:rRNA from 1 species